AACUUUAAGAUAUUUAUCAUUUACCACAAUAAUCUUGCAGAAAAUUUCACAGAUUAAUAAAACCGUUGAACAUUUGGUGUGAACGUGACAGGCAGUGUUUUUGUUUGUACAUAUCUUUUCAUUGAGUAAGAGAAUUCUCGAACUUUUGUUAAAUUCGUACGAUUACAUCAAAUUAUGGCCACGGAAGAAGGUUUCGAACAGUUCGAAGAUGAAGAGGCAGAAAUUCCGAUUGGCGGGACUUUACCCGGUGGUAGGAAACGAUUAUUUUCGAAAGAAUUACGGUGUAUGAUGUAUGGUUUUGGUGAUGAUCAAAAUCCUUAUACAGAAAGUGUAGAUUUGUUAGAAGAUCUUGUUAUUGAAUUUAUUACCGAAAUGACACAUAGAGCUAUGGAAAUUGGUCGUACCGGUCGUGUGCAAGUAGAGGAUAUCGUAUUUUUAGUUAGGAAAGACCCAAGGAAAUAUGCAAGAGUUAAAGAUCUCCUAACAAUGAAUGAAGAAUUAAAGAAAGCUAGAAAAGCAUUCGAUGAAGUUAAAUAUGCAGGUACUGUUAGUCAGUAAAUUUAAUUUAUCAAUAUCAAAGCAUAUAACAAAAUACUUUUAUUCUGCCUGAAUUUAUUAUUUUAUUAGAGAAUCAUAUAUAUAUAUAUAUAUAUAUAUAUAUUUAUAUUCAUAUAUUUUUUUUUAUAAAAAGCUCUUUCGUAUAAACAGUUAUUUUUAUGAUUUUGAGAAAGCUCAGAUAGAGUUUGAACAUAAAUGAUCUAAGUACUGCAUUAUAGUAGUUGCACAGUUUUUACAAGAACGGAAUGCUACAUGCUUGUGUGCUGCAUUUUUAUGAUACUUCAUGCUUGCUUAUCUACAUAAUUGGAAGAUUAUAGUAUACUUAAGAUUGCUUAAAUGUUUUUGUUACAUAAAAAAAAUAUGCAUAAACAUAUAUAUUUGGGGGUUUAUGUAAGUAUAGGUCGUCCAAAAAGUUUCUUUCGCUUCAUAAGGAAAUAAUGGAUGCACAACAUUUUCUGUUUUGUAUUAUUGUAUCGAAUUACGUAUGAUCCAUUUUGUUCUAUCAAAAUAAAGAUCACAACAUUUGACAGAUUAGGUUUUAUGUUUGUAUAAAGAUGCAUCGUUGUAAAAGACAUAUCUGUAAAGGAAAGACACUUUCCGGACAACCUAAUAGUAAUACUUAGAUCUAUUAUAAAAUACGAUAAUUAUCAUAUGAGUGCUAUUUCUUUUUUUAUGUAGUGUUAGUAGUAUUGUAUAUGUAAAAUAGAGUAUAAAACAAAAAUCUAUAUCUGUACUAAAUGUUCUAUAUUUUAUUUCAUGCACAAUAUAUAUAUAUUUUACACUUUUAUAAUAAAAAAUAUUUUAUACCUAUGUUUUAUUUUAAUAGCUAUAAAAUCUUUUCACAGCUCUAGUAUAAUAAAAUGCUGGUUUGGAAUAAUUAUUUUAUGUCCUAUUUACUUUUUAUACUUUCAUUCAUUCUUCAAUUUUUAUAUUAUGAUAUCUCUCUUAAUUUUUGUAUUAUUUCUAUUUUAUUGUGUAAAUUGCUCUGUUUAUUUUCAUUAAGCAGCAUGAACAAUGCAUGUUUUUAGUUCAAGUUAAAUUACAGUUUAGUUUUUAAAAAAUUAUUUUGGCUUAAUUUCUUGCAUGUAUAUAUAUUGUUUCAUUCUUAAAACAAAGAAAAUUGAUUAAUUAAAUUUCACAAAGCUAUAUCAUACACUGAUUGAUACUAGAAACAGCUUCUUUUGCUGACAGAAUAACAUGAGAGACUCCUACACCGUGAUAUGAAGAGCCACACAAUGCUAAAGAAUGGAAACAUUACAUGCCUUGGGAUCUUCAUUAAUGCAUAAAAGUUUGUUUGCAUAUUUAACUGCUACCAUUUUUAAAUGUUCUUCAGAUGAGCAUCUACCAAAGUAUUUUUCAAACCAUGCCCCACCCAUCAUUACUGUCAGUACCUGGAUUUGAAAACAAAAAUUGUAUAUAUUGAAUAAGAAAUGUUUCUAGUCCAUUAUAUAUUUGUGAAAGAUUAUUUAAAAGUCAAAAAUCAUUUUAUGUCACCGCAAAGUUACUUUAUAAAAAUUUAUUGUAAAAAGCAUUAAGCUGGUGUAAUAAAUAUUUAUAUUUAUA